GAUGAACGCUGGCGGCGUGCCUAAUACAUGCAAGUCGAGCGAACGGACGAGAAGCUUGCUUCUCUGAUGUUAGCGGCGGACGGGUGAGUAACACGUGGAUAACCUACCUAUAAGACUGGGAUAACUUCGGGAAACCGGAGCUAAUACCGGAUAAUAUUUUGAACCUCAUGUUUCAAAAGUGAAAGACGGUCUUGCUGUCACUUAUAGAUGGAUCCGCGCUGCAUUAGCUAGUUGGUAAGGUAACGGCUUACCAAGGCAACGAUGCAUAGCCGACCUGAGAGGGUGAUCGGCCACACUGGAACUGAGACACGGUCCAGACUCCUACGGGAGGCAGCAGUAGGGAAUCUUCCGCAAUGGGCGAAAGCCUGACGGAGCAACGCCGCGUGAGUGAUGAAGGUCUUCGGAUCGUAAAACUCUGUUAUUAGGGAAGAACAUAUGUGUAAGUAACUGUGCACAUCUUGACGGUACCUAAUCAGAAAGCCACGGCUAACUACGUG
rnacentral:rRNA from 1 species